rnacentral:rRNA from 1 species
GACGAAGGGGGCUAGCGUUGUUCGGAAUUACUGGGGGUAAAGCGCGUGUAGGCGGUUUUCCAAGUUGGGUGUGAAAGCCUUGGGCUUAAACCAAGAAAUGCACUCAGUACUGGAAGACUAGAGGACCGGAGAGGAUAGUGGAAUUCCCAGUGUAGUGGUGAAAUACGUAGAGAUUGGGAAGAACACCAGUGGCGAAGGCGGCUAUCUGGACGGUUUCUGACGCUAAGACGCGAAAGCGUGGGGAGCAAACAGG